GACGAACGCUGGCGGCGUGCUUAACACAUGCAAGUCGAACGGAAAGGCCCUGCUUUUGUGGGGUGCUCGAGUGGCGAACGGGUGAGUAACACGUGAGUAACCUGCCCUUGACUUUGGGAUAACUUCAGGAAACUGGGGCUAAUACCGGAUAGGAGCUCCUGCUGCAUGGUGGGGGUUGGAAAGUUUCGGCGGUUGGGGAUGGACUCGCGGCUUAUCAGCUUGUUGGUGGGGUAGUGGCUUACCAAGGCUUUGACGGGUAGCCGGCCUGAGAGGGUGACCGGCCACAUUGGGACUGAGAUACGGCCCAGACUCCUACGGGAGGCAGCAGUGGGGAAUAUUGCACAAUGGGCGGAGGCCUGAUGCAGCAACGCCGCGUGCGGGAUGACGGCCUUCGGGUUGUAAACCGCUUUCGCCUGUGACGAAGCGUGAGUGACGGUAAUGGGUAAAGAAGCACCGGCUAACUACGUGCCAGCAGCCGCGGUGAUACGUAGGGUGCGAGCGUUGUCCGGAUUUAUUGGGCGUAAAGGGCUCGUAGGUGGUUGAUCGCGUCGGAAGUGUAAUCUUGGGGCUUAACCCUGAGCGUGCUUUCGAUACGGGUUGACUUGAGGAAGGUAGGGGAGAAUGGAAUUCCUGGUGGAGCGGUGGAAUGCGCAGAUAUCAGGAGGAACACCAGUGGCGAAGGCGGUUCUCUGGGCCUUUCCUGACGCUGAGGAGCGAAAGCGUGGGGAGCGAACAGGCUUAGAUACCCUGGUAGUCCACGCUGUAAACGGUGGGUACUAGGUGUGGGGUCCAUUCCACGGGUUCCGUGCCGUAGCUAACGCUUUAAGUACCCCGCCUGGGGAGUACGGCCGCAAGGCUAAAACUCAAAGGAAUUGACGGGGCCCCGCACAAGCGGCGGAGCAUGCGGAUUAAUUCGAUGCAACGCGUAGAACCUUACCUGGGUUUGACAUGGAUCGGGAGUGCUCAGAGAUGGGUGUGCCUCUUUUGGGGUCGGUUCACAGGUGGUGCAUGGCUGUCGUCAGCUCGUGUCGUGAGAUGUUGGGUUAAGUCCCGCAACGAGCGCAACCCUUGUUCACUGUUGCCAGCACGUUAUGGUGGGGACUCAGUGGAGACCGCCGGGGUCAACUCGGUGGAAGGUGGGGAUGACGUCAAGUCAUCAUGCCCCUUAUGUCCAGGGCUUCACGCAUGCUACAAUGGCUGGUACAGAGAGUGGCGAGCCUGUGAGGGUGAGCGAAUCUCGGAAAGCCGGUCUCAGUUCGGAUUGGGGUCUGCAACUCGACCUCAUGAAGUCGGAGUCGCUAGUAAUCGCAGAUCAGCAACGCUGCGGUGAAUACGUUCCCGGG
rnacentral:rRNA from 1 species